GGAGAAGCCAUGGCUCAGUGGAGGAGCCUCUCCUUUGCAUGCAAAAGGUCCCAGAUUCAAUUCCUGGAAUCUCCA
rnacentral:tRNA from 1 species